rnacentral:rRNA from 1 species
AAUAUUGCGCAAUGUACGGAAGUCUGACGCAGCGACGCCGCGUGAGCGAUGAAGGCCUUCUGGUCGUAAAGCUCUGUCCUUGGGGAAGAAGGUCUUCGGACUUGACGGUACCCAAGAAGAAAGCCCCGGCUAACUACGUGCCAGCAGCCGCGGUAAUACGUAGGGGGCGAGCGUUGUCCGGAAUUACUGGGCGUAAAGGGUGCGUAGGCGGCACUUUAAGUCAGAUGUGAAAGGCCAGGGCUCAACCGUGGAAUUGCAUUUGAAACUGAAUUACUUGAGUGCAGGAGAGGCGAGCGGAAUUCCUAGUGUAGCGGUGAAAUGCGUAGAUAUUAGGAAGAACACCAGUGGCGAAGGCGGCUCUCUGGACUGUAACUGACGCUGAGGCGCGAAAGCGUGGGUAGCGAAC